rnacentral:rRNA from 1 species
AUGCAAGUCGAACGAAGUAGCAAUACUUAGUGGCAGACGGGUGAGUAACAUGUAGGUAUCUACCCUUUGGCCUGGAAUAACACGAGGAAACUUGUGCUAAUACCGGAUAAGCCUUUACAGAGAAAGCUUUAUGCACCAUUGGAUGAGCCUGCACUUGAUUAGUUUGUUGGUGGGGUAAUGGCCUACCAAGACUUUGAUCAAUAGCUGAUUUGAGAGGAUGAUCAGCCACAUUGGGACUGAGACACGGCCCAAACUCCUACGGGAGGCAGCAGUGGGGAAUCUUGCACAAUGGAGGAAACUCUGAUGCAGCGAUGCCGCGUGAGUGAAGAAGGCCCUUGGGUUGUAAAGCUCUUUCGUCGGGGAAGAAAAUGACUGUACCCGAAUAAGAAGGUCCGGCUAACUUCGUGCCAGCAGCCGCGGUAAUACGAAGGGACCUAGCGUAGUUCGGAAUUACUGGGCUUAAAGAGUUCGUAGGUGGUUGAAAAAGUUGGUGGUGAAAUCCCAGAGCUUAACUCUGGAACUGCCAUCAAAACUUUUCAGCUAGAGUAUGAUAGAGGAAAGCAGAAUUUCUAGUGUAGAGGUGAAAUUCGUAGAUAUUAGAAAGAAUACCAAUUGCGAAGGCAGCUUUCUGGAUCAUUACUGACACUGAGGAACGAAAGCAUGGGUAGCGAAGAGGAUUAGAUACCCUCGUAGUCCAUGCCGUAAACGAUGUGUGUUAGACGUUGGAAAUUUAUUUUCAGUGUCGCAGCGAAAGCGAUAAACACACCGCCUGGGGAGUACGACCGCAAGGUUAAAACUCAAAUGAAUUGACGGGGACCCGCACAAGUAGUGGAGCAUGUGGUUUAAUUCGAAGAUACGCGCAGAACCUUACCAACACUUGACAUGUUCGUCGCGACUCUAAGAGAUUAGAGUUUUCGGUUCGGCCGGACGAAACACAGGUGCUGCAUGGCUGUCGUCAGCUCG